rnacentral:rRNA from 1 species
GAUGAACGCUGGCGGCGUGCCUAAUACAUGCAAGUCGAGCGAACGGACGAGAAGCUUGCUUCUCUGAUGUUAGCGGCGGACGGGUGAGUAACACGUGGAUAACCUACCUAUAAGACUGGGAUAACUUCGGGAAACCGGAGCUAAUACCGGAUAAUAUUCUGAGCCGCAUGGUUCAAAAGUGAAAGACGGUCUUGCUGUCACUUAUAGAUGGAUCCGCGCUGCAUUAGCUAGUAGGUAAGGUAACGGCUUACCAAGGCAACGAUGCAUAGCCGACCUGAAGGAGUGAUAGGCCACACAGGAGCGUGAACAGGGUCCAGACUCCUACGGGAGGCAGCAGUAGGGAAUCGUCCGCAGUGGGCGAAAGCCUGACGGAGCGACGCCGCGUGAGAGGUGAAGGUCUUCGGAGCGUAAAACUCUGUUAUUAGGUAAGAACAUAUGUGUAAGUAACUGUGCAGAGCUUGACGGUACCUAGUCAGAAAGCCACGGCUAACUACGUG